rnacentral:misc_RNA from 1 species
AAGAUAAGGUGAAGAAAUUGAUGAUGAACAUGAAGAAGGAUGAAGUAUCACAGAACCCCAAUCUCUAGUUCCAAGUUUUGCUUCUUUUAUUCUUCUUCUUAUCAGCAAGCUUCCCACAUCCUCCUUUCUCAUUUCUGAUACACUUCUUAGGAUUGAAAUGCAUAUCAGAAUUGCCAAAACUGCAUCCUCUUCAGGCAAUAUUUCAACUAU